GGUACUGUAGCCAAGUGGUUACGGCGUCACGUUUAGGCAAUCAAAGCUGAUCCGUGAUGGGAAACCUCGCGAGUUCGAAUCUCGUCAGUGCCA